GAUGAAGAACGCAGCGAAAUGCGAUAAGUAAUGUGAAUUGCAGAAUUCAGUGAAUCAUCGAAUCUUUGAACGCACAUUGCGCCCGCCAGUAUUCUGGCGGGCAUGCCUGUUCGAGCGUCAUUACAACCCUCAGGCCCCCGGGCCUGGCGUUGGGGAUCGGCGGAAGCCCCCUGCGGGCACAACGCCGUCCCCCAAAUACAGUGGCGGUCCCGCCGCAGCUUCCAUUGCGUAGUAGCUAACACCUCGCAACUGGAGAGCGGCGCGGCCACGCCGUAAAACACCCAACUUCUGAAUGUUGACCUCGAAUCAGGUAGGAAUACCCGCUGAACUUAAGCAUAUCAAUAAGCGGAGGA
rnacentral:misc_RNA from 1 species